UAACCUGCCCAAGAGAUCGGGAUAACACCUGGAAACAGAUGCUAAUACCGGAUAACAACAGAUGAUGCCUAUCAACUGUUUAAAAGAUGGUUCUGCUAUCACUCUUGGAUGGACCUGCGGUGCAUUAGCUAGUUGGUAGGGUAACGGCCUACCAAGGCGAUGAUGCAUAGCCGAGUUGAGAGACUGAUCGGCCACAUUGGGACUGAGACACGGCCCCAAACUCCUACGGGAGGCAGCAGGC
rnacentral:rRNA from 1 species